UCUCCUUCGCGAACCAGGGGCGCCGAUUGCCGACCGCCAUUUCCUUCGCGAACCAGGAGCGCCAACCGCCAUUUCCGUUCGCGAACAGUAGCGCCGACCGCCAUUUCCGUUCGCGAACCAGGAGCAUCGACCACCAUAUCCGUUCAGGUGUUCAAUCGCCGGCCGCCACCCGCCAUUGCCUCCAUCUCGCGUACAGUCGUCGAUGACCAAUGUCCGCGUCGCCUCCCUCUCCUCCUGGUAACUUUUGGUUCAAAUUCUAAAGACACUCCUCCCCGACCUAAAAGAAGGGGUCCUAAUGCAUGCAAAAAAUUAAUGAAGAAAAAGGCAAAAGAAGAUAUUUCAAUUUAGUUUGAUGAAUAUAAUAGGACGGUUGGUGAAUAUCGCAAGCCGUUUAAAUCUUACAUUGGGGCUUUGAUUCGUUUUAGAGUUGAUAUCAAUAUCGACAGUUGGUCGCCCAAUGUAGAUGAAACGCUUAAAAAUACAAUUUGGGCAGAUGUUAAGAAACAAUUUGGCAUUGAAGAUAAUACAAAGAAAGAGAUGGUAUUGAAAAUUGCAUCAACGAGAUGGAGGGACUUCUAGAGUAGAUUGAGGCGUGAACAUGUUGCCAAUAAGCACCCAAAUUAUGAAUCUCCUAUGCAACUAUAUGAAUUCUUGAGUAAAGAGCAAUAAGAGAAGUUUGUUGCAGAGUACGAGAGUGAGUCGUUUAAGGAUAAAAGCCAGAAGGCAAGGCAAAGACAGUCAUGCAAAUGAGCAUCCACACUUCCUAGGUUCUACUUGAUAUGCGAGUAAACGACCAGAGUGGAUGAUAGAAGACUCUCUAUCUUCACAAUCUUCUUGUGCUUCUAUUAGCUCGUCAUUACUGUCGGAUGAUCGUAGUUUUGACUGGGUACGUGCAAGAAUUAAGAAGUCAGAAGAAGAAAGUUAUUACAUUCCAAAUGAAAAAACACAAGAGGUGUUUCAAAAAAUUGUAGAAAAAUGUGAUGAAGUUAACCAAGGGACAUUUCAACCGAACAGACAUCAAGACAUCUUGUCAGUAGCUCUUGGUAAACCAGAGGAGAAAUAGGGUUCAGGUAAUGUAAGAGGAGUUGGUUCAUACUCCACCAUCCGACAAGUGUUUGGUAAACCAGAGCAGAAACGGAGCAUACCGAGUGGGCUUAUUUCUACUGAUGAUUGCCAAAAGAUGUUGGAAAAGUGCAGGCAAACCACAUUGUUAGAGGUGCAGCCCAAGAUUGACACGCUCACCCAGCAACUCAAUGUAUUAUUGAAGAACAUGCCAGCCACACACCUAUAUCCACAAUGAGUUUUUGUUGACUCUCCUCAAAGUGCUUAUGCGCCUUGUGAUCAACCUCAAACCCGAAGCAGUUGUCAAUCGGUUGAUGUAU